rnacentral:lncRNA from 1 species
GAGGACUCUUCUCAGACCCAAAUCGAGGAGGAGGCAAUCGAGAACCCCAGCUAGCUCGAUAACUUUCACCCCGAUCCUCUCUACCGAAAGAUAUUUUAAAGGAAAAGAGGAUCGAAAGGGGUGAACAAAGAAGGAAAUUAACUAAAAAUAAAAAAAAAGACAGUAAGAGAACCAAUCGAAAAAGAAGUUUUGGAUGGAAUAAGCUCCUUAGAGAACCAUAAACUCACCAGAGCCAGAGAAAGGGAUGGAGCACAUGACAACA